UGUUUCUAAUAGUGCACUAUCAUUAUUUAAUUUUUUUUCUUCCUUUCUUCAUCUUCUUCAUUCACCUUCAUAAACAGACAACCUAGAAAAAUGAAGAAAACAAAACGCAUAAAAAAUUGUAAAAAGAAACAUCUAAUUUUUUUUUCCUCCAUCUUCUUCCUUAUCGUUCUUCUUCAUCCCCAAAUAAAACUUUCAUUCAUCAUCUUGAAAAAAAAAAUACCAGAAAAUAAAAAAAAUAAAACUCCCAUUCAUUAUUUUUAAUCAAUUCAUCUUUAAAUCACUAAUAAAUUCCCAAAUCAAUCUCAUUCCUGUUGAUGAACACUCUUUUGGAUGUUGUGUUACGAUCCAAAUCUUCACCAACAUAUGUUAUCGGUUUCUUCUCUCAUGCCUUUACCUCACACUACCAUACACACACACAUACAAUUGGAAUAAAUUACUCCUUGCUAAUUUUGAUUCUCAUCAGGAAACCAAAACCGUAAAAAAUCAAUUUUGUCCCGAAUUAGUCUACCCAUUAACCCGAAAUUCCUGCUUCACCCUCCCUGAAAUCUUUGCUCCACGAGACCCAAAUUCCUCAACAACACAAUCAUGACCAACCUUGUUUCUAGGUUUUUAUUGAUGGGUUUUUCAACAUUUAAUUAUGAGUUUCUAUUUCUGAGAUUGAUGAAGAUGGAAGUUAGAAGUAUGAGAUUGAUGAAGAUUCUAAUUUUGUUGUUGUUGUUGUUGCCGUUGUGGAAAAUGUUGUUGUUGUUGUUGAUGGAAUUGUAGCUGAAAUUUAGAUUGGGUGUCUGUGGUUGUUGAAAAGAGAAGAGAAGAAUUUUUUUUUUUUUUUUGUUUGUUGUGAGAAGAAAACAGAUUUGGAGAGAGGAAAGAAGAUGAAGACUUUGGUGAUUGGGUAAUUCUGGAUCUGUGUUGCUAGAAUUUUUUGUUUGUUUUAGGUAUGAAGUUAGGAGAUGAAAAGGAAAGAAGAUGAAGACUUUGGUGAUUUUUCUGGCCAAGGUAAGAGUUGUUGGUGGUGAUGGUAUGAGAGGGAGGCCAAAUGAAAGGAGAGAUAAAGUUUUUUUUAAUAGUUUUUUUCUGGUUUUUGUUUUUGGAUUUAAUUGAUGAAUAUGAUGAAGGUUUUAAUGAAGAUGAGGAAAAAAUAUAAUAAAAUUUUCCAGAGCCAAUGCCGUAAUGACACGUGUACAAAAACUAACAUUUUUUUAUUACACCCUAACAUUUUUGAAUUAAAACUAAUGAAAAUGACCAAAAUGUGUAACAGAGAUAAACUUAAAAUACCAAAACGGAACAAAUUUUAAUUAUUGGACCAAAACGAUAUUAAUUAAAUAGUUGAGGGACGAAAAUAGCAAUUAACGAUAAUUCACUUUUAAUUACGCCAAUCAAUUUGAAAGGACAUGAAUAUGUGCAUCAAACUACGAGAGAAAUCAUAUGUCUGACAAUAUUGUGUGCAAAUAAAACCAUAAGCUCGUGAUACCAAAAAUAAUUAUUAGCUUAAAAGUAACCUACAAUUCUAUUAAACUUAAGGCUUUGUUUGGAUGAUAAAAAAAGUAAAAUUAAAGGAAAGAAAGAGUAAGGAAAGAUUAAAUGAGAAAAGAAAAGGAAUAGAAAGUGAGGGGAUUGUUU
rnacentral:lncRNA from 1 species